AACACUAUGACAACCCAAUGAUCUGUCAAGAGCCUUUAUAUAAGGGGGAUCAGGAAAGACCAAAGCAGAACAUCCACCGCAAGUAACUAAACAGAUUAUGUGUCGAGAGAGAGAGAGAGAGAGAGAGAUCUCAAAGUUCCUUCUCCAUGACCAUGGCCAGCGUUGUUUGCACAGAUGAAAGAGGUAGAUCGCAAAGGAGUGCUACCGGAGAACACAGAAUCAAGUGCCAAACCGAGACUUGCCACUUCGUCUGUGUUCUCAGGUCACCCCUUUGUGUCACCUGGUUCUACCAACUACCCUUCUUCUCCUUGUGGCAUUGUCUUCCGUAGUUAGAUCACGGGCACUGAAAGGCUGCUUCAGUUUGAAACCUUUCCCUGGUUUUCUCUUUGUACGUGAUGCUUGUUUAAACUUGACUUGACCUUUCUUAUUCUGCAUCUUCCAUGGUCUCGUGCAGGGACAGGGCUCUUUUGGGUGGGCAAUGUUGGAACAAGCAUGGGCUCUCAGGUCAUC
rnacentral:miRNA from 1 species